UGCCUUCCGGCCCGGAUCUUUCGAUCCACAUAAUAUCGCCUUCCGGCCCGGAUCUUUCGAUCCACAUGAUAAUCGCCUUCCGGCCCGUACACAUAUAUAACACAUAAUACAAAUACUCUAACACAUAAAGCACAUAUAUCACAUAUCAUACCUGACCUUUCUGUCACAUAAUACCUUGCCUUCCGGCCCAUAUAUAAGCAUGUAUAUCACGCGUAGCAGCUAACUUUCCAUUUAUAGCAUAUAAACAUAACACAUAACAUACUUGACCUUCCGGUCACACAAUCAAACCCUUCCGGGUGAAGUAUAGUGAGAAGACUCACCUCGCGGACACUGGAAGAUAGCAACUCCUAAAAUCCCUUGCACUUGAUCCUCCGAGCUACAAGCUCCCUGUAACAUCAUAUAUCCCUUAUUAAUACUUCUAUCUUCCACGUUAACUGACCCUAAGAAAUCACACCAGUCAACUCUGGUCAACAGUCCAUUGUCAGCUCGACUGGACUCGGCGAGUUCCCUGGCGACUCGGCGAGUCUGGUCGUCCUUCAAUCCUCUAAGAUUCCCCUUCUACUCGUCGAGUAUCCUCUUUGACUCGACGAGUCACUCCUGGAAGAAUCGCGGGGCCACCCCGACUCCACUCGCCGAGUCUGAAGAACAACUCGGCGAGUCCCAGUGAAUCUUCAAGCUACUCGCCGAGUCUGAUCAUCCGACUCGGCGAGUCCACGCCAUGCAGUCGAUCGAACUGCUUCCUGAGAUACAUAUAUUCCCGAAUAUACAAACAUGGGACCUUCUGGACCUCUAAGGGUCCUAAUACAAGGUUAUAAACAUUGGAUAACGACACAACAAUCCAUCUAAUUUCCAAAUGGGUUUCAUAAACCCUAAAUUCGUGUACACAUCAAAAUAACAGGAAUGAUCCGAAACAUAACCUGAAAACGUACUCUCUGUGUCCCCAAACCUCAGAACUCGACCCCCUUGCUCUUCCUUUGGCCAAAAUCCUUCCUCUUCUUGCACCACAAUUCCUUCAAAGUCAAUAAUGGCCUUCAAGUUUGCUCUAGAUGCCACAGUCGUUUAGGGUUCUCCACAAUCGGCCAAAAGACGUGAAAUGACGACAUAACAACCCUUAUAUACGACCCAAUACGAAACGGCUAGGGUUUCCGCUGAACAGCGUCGACUCGCCGAGUCCAUAUCUGGACUCGUCGAGUCCAGUCGUGAACCCGCGACCAAACCUGCGACCCUACUCGGCGAGUCUGGCUCCAACUCGUCGAGUCUCCCCUUUAAAACACCCCCAAAAUGCAACUUAACAAUACUUGAGAUUUUGGGCUGUUACAAUUCUCCCCCACUAGAAUUAGACUUCGCCCUCGAAGUCUCACUCUGAAAAUAGCUCUGGCUGCUGCUCCCGCAUCUCACGUUUCGGCUUCCCUAGACACUACCGAUCUCUCCCGAGGCCGCUACUGAACCAAUACCAGAGGUACCUCCUUGUUCCUCAGAACCUUGAUCUUCCGAUCUCCGACGGCCACUGGCCUCUCGACGUAACACAGGCUCGCAUCCACCUAAUCGUUCUCUAGUAGAACCACUGCUGACUCAUCCGCUAUACACCUCUUCAACUGCGACACAUACCAGUGUCAUGGAUCCGUCCCAAUUCCGUUGACAGCUCCAAACGAUAGGCCACCCUUCCUACCUUCGCACCUUCACGAAAAGACCCAACAUACCGGGGCCCCCCAUUUACCCCUCUUCCUAAAUCGAAGCACCCCGUCAGAAAUACGAAGUCGCUGACCUGAAUCACAUGCUCGUAACGGCGUCUGCCUGCAUAACUUUCCUGUUAACUCUAGACGAUCACUAACUCUCUUUAACCUGCUGAGUCUGCUUUGUCAACUAAAGUACGAACUCUGAACUGCUCAUCACUCUCUGUAAUCGGAAAUUACCCAAGAUGCACUCUGCUCCAAAUCUCAACGAUCACUCAACCCAUAAGGGUUAGGAAACCCUGAACCACCGGAUCCCCGAUCCAAAGCCCACUUUGCCCAUUCCGGACCGACUGAGAGAUCCGUUCUCCCUCUCAGAUCAACUCUCACAAGUUCCCUCUUGCCAUCACAUACACAUACUGAACUAGUCCCAACACCCGCAGGUGGAAAGACCCGAUACACUGAUGAUAUCCUCGAACAUCUCCCAAGAUGAACCACUACAUCCACCCUACACUCUGAUCAGAUUCACACUGAGAAUUUAAAAUUUUCUCUCUCCAUGCAUCCCUUCUGAGCCUCAACAGACAUCCCAACCGGAUGGGUUCCUACUCCACUGCCGCGAACACGAUGCUCAAAACCAUACUCGAAAUACUCUAACCAUAACUCUGCUCUGCAGCUUUCACUUUCGUGAACUUGCACCCCCUUCGGAGUUACAUACCCUCCUCUUUUCCUUUUCCACGGAACUCUCUUGAACAUAAUGCCACUCCAACCGGUGCCACGGUGCUCGCCCCAAGCGACACCACCCUUUUUGCGUAACUGCUAUUCACAUACUCUGGUUCUCAUUGCAGGGGCUCUCAAUCCCAUGCACUCUCUCCACUCAUCAAAAUCACUGCCUCCGCUAAACAAGAUCAAUAACCCGGGGCCAGACCUUCCAAUGCAAUCACACUGCAACAUACGCGAUCCGCAAAUCUCAAACUAAUCCAGCAAUACCAACAGAGUCUCCAGUAUGACUGGACCGACUCUCAUAACACAUACUAGCCACUCGAGGCUAUAUCUCUGUGGGUCCGUACACCCAAACUCUGCGAACCCUCAGGUUCUAACUCUGGGAACCUUCCGGUUCCAGCUCUAGAAACAUGCACAACAUAAUCCCGUGGGAUUAAUGCAGUACAACCCAUCACGUACCUCAAACGUACCAAUACUCUGAUCGCAAAAUUCCGAUUACUUACUCAAGCUUGAUCCCGACCUCCUCUCAGGCCUCCACAAUCAAAUGCCCUAGGUCUGUAUCUCGCCCCGCAUACUCAACACUCGCUCUCGUCGGCCUAUACUUUGCGCUGACAAACACUGCUGAAUCCCAACAGCUAAGCACCCUUACAUACUCAUCGAUCUCCCGGAGAAUUUUACAAUUCUCCCCCACUAAAGCACUGACUAACUGCCACCGAUCGUCAUUAACGACCUUUCAGAACCAUCCUGCACAAAGAGAACAUUUACCCACUGACUGCUUCCCACAAGCGUAAGCAACCCUCAGCAAAACACAUCUCCUCCCUGAUCAAUCCGCUCAAAAGAAUCCGAUCUUUCAAUUAUCCACUCCACAACUGCAGAUGCUACCCGUCAUUCAACCCAGUGCCGCAUCUCCACUAUCAACCCUCACGAACGAUGACCAACGGAAUUCCCAAGCAAUAACCCAUAACCAAACCCACAACCUGCCAAAGGUUGAAUAUCGCAUCGAAAACCGCACAAGGCUACCGGUACCAAAACACCAAACUAUAAUCAUACUAAACCAUCAGGGAACAACGAAUGCCAAGCGAAAACCUGAAGCACCAAUCCAUAACCAUGCCAAACCCGCGAAACAACGAAUACCGCAUCGAAAUCCACACCAGACACCAGCACAAACAAUACGCCACAAUCAACGCAAGCUACUCAAGACAUCAAGAGAGCAUCAUACCCGCAGCUGCCUCCGGCACUGCUCCGUCUCCCUCUGCCGCAAGCCGAUAAGCACGACCCUGAGCCCUUGGGCUCUGCUCCAUCCUGUCCUCCUCCUGAACUCCUCAAGGUGGCCGAUGCUAGAGCCUGCACCGGUCCUGCAGGAAACUGUGGACGGUUGACCCUCAAAUGUCCAACCUGCCGACACUGAUAACAAAUCCUGAAAUCCCGAAUUGGCACUGACUGCCGACAAUCCCGUGCACCAUGCCCCUCCUUUCCGCACUUGCGGCAUGCACCACUGGGCCAACAAGCUCCGGUGCCAUCUCUCUCACACUUCCCACAAGUGUGACCGCUCCGAUCCCCCAUUCUAACGUCUACGGUCAUGGACCGUUUCGGCGCCGACUGCGACUGCAUCGGGGCCUGCCUCAUCUCACGCAACUGCAACUCAACCUCUAACUCACGCCACAUGGCGGCCUCCUGCGAUACCAACACGGUCUCGCGCCUCUGCGCAGACACGAACUGUCUGAUACCCCCCCUUGAGCAUACUCGGAUAUCGGGACAUCUGAGCCUGCUCCGAAGCGAACUCAGGGCAAAACAUCGCCCUCUCAAUAAACAUCCCGGUGCUCUCAGUCACCGACUCCAAAUCCUGCUUCAGCUUAAGGAACUUCCGAGCCAAUUUCUCCUUUUCAUCCCGCGGAACAUAGCGAGUACUGAACAUCCCUCUGAAUUGAUCCCAUGAAACCGCAGCCCUCUGCGCAUCGGAAAAUGACCUCGUGGUCAAUCUCCACCAAUCCUUCGCCCCGAGCCUCAAUAGGUUCAGAGCACACCCCACCCUCUGAUCAGCAGGGCAUAAACUCGUGGAGAAACACCCCUCCAUGUCUGAUAACCAUCUCAUAGCAACAAUCGAGUCCUGAACUCCAUCGAAUGUGGGAGGCUUCGCAUAAUAGAAGUCCCGAUACUGAAAACCCCGACUAGCCCCUUUCUUUGCCGUUGCUACAGCCGCUGUAACCGCCGCGGCAGCCGUCUCUGCGAAAGCCGCAUAUCGCUCAUCAAACUACUUCAAUCAUAGUGGUCCUGAUCGACCCAAACAAUUCUGGCGACUCAGCCCGCAACAAUGCAGCAACCUCAUCACGCCGGAUCUCGCGAAUCCUCGCAUCCCGCUCGCUCGUGCUCGUCCGAUCGAUAACCGGAUAACAAGAUAGCCACAAGCAUCAUCCACUACGAACCAUGGUACUCAUCCCAUGACAUCCCUCCUCAACAUGCUUCGGUGUAUGGUACCUGAACCAUAGCACCACUCCUCAAUCUGCUCCAAUGUAUAGCACUCGAACCACAACAUCUAUCUCAAUCUGUUCCGAUGUAUGGUGCCCUGACCAUAACAUCACUCUGUAUCCGCUCCGAUGUAUGGUAUCCGAACCAUAACAUCACCCCUCAAUCUGUUCCUUAGGACCUUCAGAAUGCCCCCUGUAUCAAGUAUGGGUCCUCUGCUUUCAGUAGUACGGGCCCAUACUACCUGCCACAUCUACCCAUACUUUCCACACGGACCAUCCCAGAGUUCCUAAGUAGCUGAUAAACCUGCUCUUUCACCCAUCUCAUCGCGCGUGCUCGCUUUCCAGCGAAAUCCUCUACUCUACCAGCGCACUCAUCUGGCUAGGUUUACUCCCUAGUCCCUUCCGCUGUCCUCCCACUUCUUUGCUAUCAGCUGCUGAAGAGUUCCUAAUGAUGCCAGCCCUCUACCUCCUGAGUAUCGUCAUACUCACUUAGUAGCUGACUCCCAUCAUCGAUAACUCCACAAAGCACAAAGCAAGCAGCAUUCGAGCAUUGAAGCAUACAUAGGACUCCCCAUCUGUGGUAGCUCCACCUUCUCGGCUCAUCCUCGGAAGUACCUCUGUACCCCGUAGCUUUACCCCUUGUGCGUUCUAACUAGAUACUCUCACUCAUCACAUACACACAAAAGCAUAACGCACAUAUAACAGCAAACCCUAGACUAAGGCAUCACAAAUCAGGCCACUCUAGUCCUAAGAUGUGAAAUACCUAGCCUGUCUCUAGCAUGCAAUAAUGUCUCAUAAAGUGCAUAAUAGAUAUUUCAUAAUACAAAAGUAAGGGUAUUUUGGGAAAUCACCGUUUGGCUCUGGCUGAUUGUACACACUGCUCUUUCUUGCUUUCUCUUUGAACUCUUAUUCACUUUUAGAAAACCAUUUAUUUGGAAAACUUUUUCUUACUUCCUCAGUUUGAGUCCAGAUUUACCCGUAGGCGCGUCCGAAUCCCUCAAACCAAGGCUCUGAUACCAAUUUGUAACACCAAGAUUUCCAAAAACAAAAUUUUCAUUUAAAUAAUCAAUUUAAUAUUAAAAACACUUGUUUAAAAUCUUAUUCACAUUCGAAUUACAAAACAUAGUUUCAUUUUCAUUAUAAUAGAAGACCAGGAUCCUCCAAAACACAACUCUUUCUUCGGUGUGUACAAUCGAACCGUUGCCAUCCCGCGUUACUGUAAGAACCUGAAACAACAUAACAUAAACAACGUAAGCACGAAGCUUAGUGAGUUCCCCAAUAUACCUUACGCACAUACGCCUUCCGGCCCGGACCUUUCGGUCCACAUAACAUUGCCUUCCGGCCCGGACCUUUCGGUCCACAUAACAUUGCCUUCCGGCCCGUAAUAGUAUCGCCUUCCGGCCCAUAAUAUAUAUCGCCUUCCGGCCCGUAUUAGAUUGCCUUCCGGUCCAUAAGAUAAUCGCCUUCCGGCCCAUACACAUAUAUAACACAUAAUACAAAUACUCUAACACAUAAAGCACAUAUAUCAUAUAUCAUACCUGACCUUUCUGUCACAUAAUACCUUGCCUUCCGGCCCAUAUAUAAGCAUGUAUAUCAC
rnacentral:lncRNA from 1 species